rnacentral:ncRNA from 1 species
GCUCGUCCAAGGCAAACCUAGUGAAAGCUAGGGACGCAAAGUUACCGGUCUAAAGGUUGUUUAUUAAUAACAAUAAUUACCUAUGAUAGCGGAACUGCCGAC